UACGUAGGGUGCAAGCGUUGUCCGGAAUUAUUGGGCGUAAAGAGCUCGUAGGCGGUUUGUUGCGUCGGCUGUGAAAUCCCGAGGCUCAACCUCGGGUCUGCAGUCGAUACGAGCAAACUAGAGUGUUGCAGGGGAGACUGGAAUUCCUGGUGUAGCGGUGAAAUGCGCAGAUAUCAGGAGGAACACCGGUGGCGAAGGCGACUACCUGGCCUGUUCUUGACGCUGAGGCGCGAAAGCUAGGGGAGCAAACGGG
rnacentral:rRNA from 1 species